CAGUCGCCGCGGUAAUACGUAGGUGGCAAGCGUUGUCCGGAAUUAUUGGGCGUAAAGGGCUCGCAGGCGGUUUCUUAAGUCUGAUGUGAAAGCCCCCGGCUCAACCGGGGAGGGUCAUUGGAAACUGGGAAACUUGAGUGCAGAAGAGGAGAGUGGAAUUCCACGUGUAGCGGUGAAAUGCGUAGAGAUGUGGAGGAACACCAGUGGCGAAGGCGACUCUCUGGUCUGUAACUGACGCUGAGGAGCGAAAGCGUGGGGAGCGAACAGAAUUAGAUACCCCAGUAGUCCCUGUCUCUUAUAC
rnacentral:rRNA from 1 species